rnacentral:rRNA from 1 species
AGCGGCAGAUGGGUGAGUAACACGUGGGGAACCUGCCCCUAAGUCUGGGAUACCAUUUGGAAACAGGUGCUAAUACCGGAUAAUAAAGCAGAUCGCAUGAUCAGCUUUUGAAAGGCGGCGUAAGCUGUCGCUAAGGGAUGGCCCCGCGGUGCAUUAGCUAGUUGGUAAGGUAACGGCUUACCAAGGCGACGAUGCAUAGCCGAGUUGAGAGACUGAUCGGCCACAUUGGGACUGAGACACGGCCCAAACUCCUACGGGAGGCAGCAGUAGGGAAUCUUCCACAAUGGACGCAAGCCUGAUGGAGCAACGCCGCGUGAGUGAAGAAGGUUUUCGGAUCGUAAAGCUCUGUUGUUGGUGAAGAAGGAUAGAGGUAGUAACUGGCCUUUAUUUGACGGUAAUCAACCAGAAAGUCACGGCUAACUACGUGCCAGCAGCCGCGGUAAUACGUAGGUGGCAAGCGUUGUCCGGAUUUAUUGGGCGUAAAGCGAGCGCAGGCGGAAAAAUAAGUCUAAUGUGAAAGCCCUCGGCUUAACCGAGGAACUGCAUCGGAAACCGUUUUUCUUGAGUGCAGAAGAGGAGAGUGGAACUCCAUGUGUAGCGGUGGAAUGCGUAGAUAUAUGGAAGAACACCAGUGGCGAAGGCGGCUCUCUGGUCUGCAACUGACGCUGAGGCUCGAAAGCAUGGGUAGCGAACAGGAUUAGAUACCCUGGUAGUCCAUGCUGUAAACGAUGAGUGCUAAGUGU